UACAGAGGUCUCAAGCGUUGUUCGGAUUCAUUGGGCGUAAAGGGCGCGUAGGCGGCGGGGUCAGUCGGGUGUGAAAUCUUGGGGCUUAACCCCGAAACGGCACUCGAAACUGCCCGGCUGGAGGGCCGGAGAGGAGAUCGGAAUUCACGGUGUAGCAGUGAAAUGCGCAGAUAUCAGGAGGAACACCGGUGGCGAAGGCGGUUCUCUGGGCAUGUCCUGACGCUGAGGAGCGAAAGUGUGGGGAGCGAACAGG
rnacentral:rRNA from 1 species